rnacentral:rRNA from 1 species
UACGGAAGGCAGCAGGGGGAAUAUUGCACAAUGGGCGAAAGCCUGAUGCAGCUAUGCCGCGUGUAUGAAGAAGGCCUUAGGGUUGUAAAGUACUUUCAUCGGGGAGGAAAAAACAAAACUAAUAAUUUUAUUUCUUGACGUUACCCGAAAAAGAAGCACCGGCUAACUCCGUGCCAGCAGCCGCGGUAAUACGGAGGGUGCUAGCGUUAAUCAGAAUUACUGGGCGUAAAGAGCACGUAGGUGGUUUUUUUAAAGUCAGAUGUGAAAUCCCUGGGCUUAACCUGGAACUGCAUUUUGAAACUGAAAUACUAGAGUAUCGUAGAGGGAGGUAGAAUUCUAGGUGUAGCGGUGAAAUGCGUAGAUAUCUGGAGGAAUACCUGUGGCGAAAGCGGCCUCCUAAACGAAUACUGACACUGAGGGUGCGAAAGCGUGGGGAGCAAACAGGGAUUAGAUACCCGU